rnacentral:rRNA from 1 species
CGAGAACGGACUUAAGCUUGCUUAAGUUGUCAGCUAAGUGGCGCACGGGUGAGUAAUGUAUAGUUAACCUGCCCUCUAGAAAGGAAUAACAGUUGGAAACGACUGCUAAUGCCCUAUAUGCCCAUAAUACAAAAGUAUGCUGGGGAAACGCUUUAGUGCUAGAGGAUGGGACUGUAUUGUAUCAGUUAGUUGGUGAGGUAAUGGCUCACCAAGACAAUGACGCAUAACUGGUUUGAGAGGAUGAUCAGUCACACUGGAACUGAGACACGGUCCAGACUCCUACGGGAGGCAGCAGUGGGGAAUAUUGCACAAUGGAGGAAACUCUGAUGCAGCAACGCCGCGUGGAGGAUGACACUUUUCGGAGCGUAAACUCCUUUUAUAUAGGAAGAUAAUGACGGUACUAUAUGAAUAAGCACCGGCUAACUCCGUGCCAGCAGCCGCGGUAAUACGGAGGGUGCAAGCGUUACUCGGAAUCACUGGGCGUAAAGAGCGUGUAGGCGGAUAGAUAAGUCAGAAGUGAAAUCCUAUGGCUCAACCAUAGAACUGCUUUUGAAACUGUCUAUCUAGAAUAUGGGAGAGGUAGAUGGAAUUUCUGGUGUAGGGGUAAAAUCCGUAGAGAUCAGAAGGAAUACCGAUUGCGAAG